rnacentral:pre_miRNA from 1 species
UGGCAGUGCAUUUAGCUGGGUAAGGAAGCUUAGUCUUUUACCCACUAUAUACACUACCCAUA